rnacentral:rRNA from 1 species
CAGUAACGGCGAGUGAAGCGGCAGCAGCUCAAUUUGAAAUCUGGCCCCUGGGGCCCGAGUUGUAGUUUGCAGAGGAUGCUCCGGGCGCGGCGCCUUCCGAGUUCCCUGGAACGGGACGCCACAGAGGGUGAGAGCCCCGUCUGGUCGGACGCCAAGCCUGUGUGGAGCUCCUUCGACGAGUCGAGUAGUUUGGGAAUGCUGCUCAAAGCGGGAGGUAUAUGUCUUCUAAAGCUAAAUACCGGCCAGAGACCGAUAGCGCACAAGUAGAGUGAUCGAAAGAUGAAAAGCACUUUGGAAAGAGGGUUAAAGAGCACGUGAAAUUGUUGAAAGGGAAGCGCCCGUGACCAGACCUGGGCCCGGCGAAUCACCUGGCGUUCUCGCCGGCGCACUUCACCGGGCACAGGCCAGCAUCAGCUCGACGCGGGGGACAAAGGCGGCGGGAACGUGGCUCCCCAGGGAGUGUUAUAGCCCGCCGCGCAAUGCCCCGCGCCGGACUGAGGUACGCGCACCGCAAGGAUGCUGGCGUAAUGGUCAUCGGCGACCCGUCUUGAAACACGGACCAAGGAGUCGUCUUCGUAUGCGAGUGUUGGGGUGCCAAACCCCCGCGCGGAAUGAAAGUGAACGCAGGUGAGAGCUCCGGCGCAUCACCGACCGAUCCUGAUGUUCUCGGAUGGAUUUGAGUAGGAGCAUACGGGGCCGGACCCGAAAGAAGGUGAACUAUGCCUGUGUAGGGUGAAGCCAGAGGAAACUCUGGUGGAGGCUCGCAGCGGUUCUGACGUGCGAAUCGAUCGUCAAACAUGGGCAUG